rnacentral:rRNA from 1 species
ACUGCAAGUCGAGCGAACGGACGAGAAGCUUGCUUCUCUGAUGUUAGCGGCGGACGGGUGAGUAACACGUGGAUAACCUACCUAUAAGACUGGGAUAACUUCGGGAAACCGGAGCUAAUACCGGAUAAUAUUUUGAACCGCAUGGUUCAAAAGUGAAAGACGGUCUUGCUGUCACUUAUAGAUGGAUCCGCGCUGCAUUAGCUAGUUGGUAAGGUAACGGCUUACCAAGGCAACGAUGCAUAGCCGACCUGAGAGGGUGAUCGGCCACACUGGAACUGAGACACGGUCCAGACUCCUACGGGAGGCAGCAGUAGGGAAUCUUCCGCAAUGGGCGAAAGCCUGACGGAGCAACGCCGCGUGAGUGAUGAAGGUCUUCGGAUCGUAAAACUCUGUUAUUAGGGAAGAACAUAUGUGUAAGUAACUGUGCACAUCUUGACGGUACCUAAUCAGAAAGCCACGGCUAACUACGUGCCA